rnacentral:rRNA from 1 species
GGGGGGGGGGGGGGGGGGGCGGGGCGCGUGCAGGUCGGGCGGGGGGGGCCUGGUGGGGGGGGGUGCUCGGGUGGCGGACGGGUGAGUAACGCGUGGGUAACCUGCCCGUGACUUUGGGAUAACUUCAGGAAACUGGGGCUAAUACCGGGUAGGAGCUCCUGCUGCAUGGUGGGGGUUGGCACGUUUCGGCGGUUGGGGAUGGACUCGCGGCUUAUCAGCUUGUUGGUGGGGUAGUGGCUUACCAAGGCUUUGACGGGUAGCCGGCCUGGGAGGGUGACCGGCCACAUUGGGACUGAGAUACGGCCCAGACUCCUACGGGAGGCAGCAGUGGGGAAUAUUGCACAAUGGGCGGAAGCCUGAUGCAGCAACGCCGCGGGCGGGAUGACGGCCUUCGGGUUGUAAACCGCUUUCGCCUGUGACGAAGCGUGAGUGACGGUAAUGGGUAAAGAAGCACCGGCUAACUACGUG